UUUCCGGGGCUAAUUAACAAGCUGAUGCCCAACCCCGUCAGGUCCGGAAGGAAGCAGCGGUCAGCAAUCAGUUUGUGUAGUUAGUUCCCGGUUUUUU
rnacentral:SRP_RNA from 1 species